UGUCAUGAUGAGAGUCUUUUGAUUAGCUCUAGAUCAAGAGCUGCUUCUGUAGCGAUGAGCGACAUUUGCAUGUAUUACCUGAACC
rnacentral:snoRNA from 1 species